rnacentral:misc_RNA from 1 species
AUCAAUACCAAGCUCAGGGCAGGUGCAGCAGUGCUUUCCACUUGAAAUCCUGGCAGCCGCAGUCGCAGCCGUCUCAAUCGAUCCUUGACACAAUAACCAUUUUCUCGAAGCUACCAAGAAUGAAUAAGAAAUUUGGAGCAGGGAAGCAGCCCACUGGCACUCCUUCACUGGGCUGGUCAUGCGUUGUUGUCAUCAUUUCACUUCUUACUGGCGCCUCCAUCGUUCACAACAUUUAUAAACCUGAUCUCACAUUGCCCCCGGUAGAUGGCGUUAAUACAGCCAAGAAGAGUCAAACUGAAACAAGGC